AUGCAGGCUUUUCAGAAGCCCUGGAGCUGCUUGCAAGUCAAGCAUGGUCCUCCAUUUGUUCCAGAGGUACCCAUGAUAUCACAUGCCCUGAAGCCCUCCUCCCCCAGUGUUCUCACGUUUCCCUGUUGGUUUUUACCAGUGCCCUCCUCCCCAGAGGUGCUUUGCUGUGGAGCUGGAAGUACUGAACAAAUGGGGAUCAGAGAGCCGUUUAUCGAAUGGAGGAAUAUUACAUGAUGAGAACAGCAACACUGUUUGGAUGACUACCAUUUCAUGUGACAGUUGAAUGAGCAUAGAAAGAGGUGAUUUCAAACCUGAAUCCCUCUUUGGAUGAUAUCUGUAACCGUUAAGAAUAAAUCUAUUGAAAAAUCACUUCCUGAAACUUGAAAGAUGUGACAUGUUUGUGUAUCUUCAAUGAAGCGCUCUUCAGUAUCCUGUUGAGUCUAUGUACAGUCUGUUCUGCUUUCUCAAGUUCAGGAAGCUGUCCAUUUCCUGCACUGGACAAGGAAAGGACCCCGUCAGUAAGCAUUUCGGUGUUAGUCCACACCUGUUGUUUACGAAGCAUGUGAUGAAUAACAUGUGAUUUGAUUGGGGCCCCAUUGUAAAUGUUAGUCUUUCUCUGGUACCAUUGUUUGAACUUGCAAAUCUAGCACAUGUAUCCAAUCUGUAAUGUCUUUUCUGUUUCUAGUGCCUGGCAACUGGUAGCCCGGGUGCUAGUUUUGGAAAAGGCUAAUGCUGAAAGACCGACAUCAAGGCUUGGCUUGUUACCUGUAGCCUCCAUACUGUCCCCAGUCUUCCUGGUGCUGAGGUCGAAGUGGCCAGGAGAAACGGUUUCCUUGACAAGUUCCAGCUAUACCGUGGACUAUGUAACUAUGUGUUGGAAAACACACAUUUUAAUUUGAGGUAAAAAAAAAACAUUGUGAUGUGCGAACUCAUUUAGCAUGUGUUGAGUAUACAUUACAUCAAAGCUAGCCAAACUUGUAUUACUCAGUUGUUACUUAGAGGACA
rnacentral:lncRNA from 8 species